UCGCUCAGGUCUCCCAGCAUCGACGAAUAUGCGUUUCGCCUUUUACUAAACGCAUCCGUGCUGGGGGACACUUACAAUGAGCCUAAAUGGCAAUUUUUGUGGCCCCUUAUAGGGGCU
rnacentral:snRNA from 1 species